rnacentral:siRNA from 1 species
GCAAGAUAGGUUCAGCUUGUUGCA